AGCAGCCGCGGUAAUUCCAGCUCCAAUAGCGUAUAUUAAAGUUGUUGCAGUUAAAAAGCUCGUAGUUGAAUUUCGGGAUUUAUCCGUCGGUCGGGCUUUUGGGUCUGUACUGGCGUGAUGGAUUUCUACCUUCUGAAUAACCGGCAUGUCAUUAAUUUGGUGCGCCGGGGAAGCAGGACUGUUACCUUGAAAAAAUUAGAGUGCUUAAAGCAGGCUAUUGCCUGAAUACAUUAGCAUGGAAUAAUGAAAUAGGAUGGCAUGGUUCUAUUUUGUUGGUUUCUAGGAUCACCGUAAUGAUUAAUAGGGAUAGUUGGGGGCAUUAGUAUUCAAUUGUCAGAGGUGAAAUUCUUGGAUUUAUUGAAGACUAACUUCUGCGAAAGCAUUUGCCAAGGAUGUUUUCAUUAAUCAAGAACGAAAGUUAGGGGAUCGAAGACGAUCAGAUACCGUCGUAGUCUUAACCAUAAACUAUGCCGACUAGGGAUCGGACGAUGUUAAAUUAAUGACUCAUUCGGCUACCCG
rnacentral:rRNA from 1 species